rnacentral:rRNA from 1 species
CCUACGGGAGGCAGCAGUGGGGAAUAUUGGGCAAUGGAGGCAACUCUGACCCAGCAACGCCGCGUGAAUGAUGAAGGUCUUCGGAUUGUAAAGUUCUGUGAUGGGGGAUGAACACAAUGACGGUACCCCAAUAGCAAGCCACGGCUAACUACGUGCCAGCAGCCGCGGUAAUCCGGAGGUGGCAAGCGUUAUCCGGAAUGACUGGGCGUAAAGGGUGCGUAGGUGGUUUAGUAAGUUGGCGGUGUAAUUCCGGGGCUCAACCUCGGCGCUACCGCCAAAACUAUUAGACUAGAGUGCAGGGGGGGUAAGUGGAAUUCCUAGUGUAGCGGUGGAAUGCGUAGAUAUUAGGAGGAACAUCAGGGGCGAAGGCGACUUACUGGACUGUAACUGACACUGAGGCACGAAAGCGUGGGGAGCAAACAGGAUUAGAUACCCCUGUAGUC